UUUCCGUAGGUGAACCCGCGGAAGGACCAUUACAGAGUUCAUGCCCUCACGGGUAGAUCUCCCACCCUUGAAUAUUUAUACCUUAGUUGCUUUGGCAGGCCGUGGAAACACCAUGGGCUCCGGCUUAUGCGUGCCUGCCAGAGGAAACAAACUCUGUUUUUAGUGAUGUCUGAGUACUAUAUAAUAGUUAAAACUUUCAACAACGAAUCUCUUGGUUCUG
rnacentral:misc_RNA from 1 species